GCGCCCUUGGCGGAGCGGCGAACGCAUCUGGUUGCAGGCCAGAAAUCAUCGGGGGUUCGAGUCCCUCAGGGCGCU
rnacentral:tRNA from 1 species